ACGAGAUCAAAGGCGAGGCCCAGAGCGGUUCUCUUUCAGAAACGCUGCGGUAGCCAUUUUUAAGAAGGGCAAGUGCCCACAACCGGGCGGGGCUUCUGGGCCCGUGCUCGUUUGUCUCGGGGUUUGGACAGGCUCCCGCAGCGGCCAUGUUUGUUGCGGGUUGGGAGGAAUUCGGCGUGGGUCCCGCCAGUGGGUGGAGUCUCAACGGCUGACCGUAACCCCGCCUGGUUCCUUAUCAGCUGCGAAAGACCAAGAACCUUUCGACCCCACCCAUUGUCUUCCCGUCCGCCUUCCUUGCCCCCAAAUCUCCGCCCUCAAGUCCCGUAGCUUCCUCCUCUCUCCCUGUCUCUGCGGUCUUUCCACAGACCUGGCUCCCUGAUUGGGUCUGGUGGCCCCUACACCCAGAAUCCGGUGCUCUUCCCAAAUCCCAGUGUCUCUCCCCGUUUAAGUCCAGUCUAGGCUCGAGGUCCAUCAUCCAGUCAACUUUUUAGGACCUCUCAUUUAGGACAAGACCAUUGAAUUCCAGGACCCAGCAAGGCCUCAUCUGCUUCUUUCUGUUCCUGCUGCCUCAGCUUCCAGGUGCCAUCCUCUGAGGAGACCCACAGCCAUUCCUUCCCAGGACUCCCGCUGGGGGUCAGAAAGGAAAGGGUUCUCUUCCAGGGUCUCAGUCUCUCCAUCCCCAAGAUGGGAACAGACUCCACCUGCUAGAAGCUACAUGGGGUGAAGGAAGAUCCAGCCUUAGGAGCAAGAGAGGAGGCUUCAUGGGCACCAGCCAGAUCUUUUAAUAACUUCAACUUGGGCUACCCUUCUGCUCAAAGACCUCAAUGGCUCCCCCAAGCCCCUUUGUCAUUAAAGUCUUUCACAGUAUGGCUUCCACUUAGCUUUCAAGCCAGAGAUUCCCUUGCUCAUUUGCCCAUUAGAGGGCAGUCAUAACCUGCCCUCUAAUGAAACCCCCGUUGCUCCCUGCUUCUGCUGCUUUUACUCAUGCUGAACCCUCCUCAAUUCUUCUUGGGACACCUCUUUCCCCUCACUGUCUGUUGGGAUCCUAUACAUCCUUCACGAAGUCUCUCUGAGAUGCCUCUUCAAAGAAGCCUGCCUCAACUUCCCAACAGUGCAGAUGAUCUCCUGCAAAUCUUCUAUACUCCUCUCUAGAGGGGCUUGCUCAUUCAUGAGCUCCAUAACAUCUAGUCCUGUGUUUUGCACCUCAUAGCUAUUCAGUAAAUAUUGCUUGCAUUUUGCUAAGUGUGGCUAAUGUAUGAAGAGGCAGUUUGGCCUAAAAAUUAAGGUACAGUCAGAUUUCCCAGAUGCAUUAUCCAUGUGUGACCUUGGUAAGCUGUCGUCCCUAUAGGCCUCAGUUUCCUCCUCAGUAAAUGGAAAAAAUAAUUAUAUGGACAUCAAAGUUUUGUGAGGCUUAAAUGAUUUGAUAGUUUCUGUUCAGGGCUUUAACAUAGUACCUACACACAGUAAGUUCUCAGUUAAGUGUGUGAGUUUAUUAUGAUUCUUAUUAUCUUCCCUUAAAUAGAAUGUGAGCUACCCCACUGGGAGGUAGGAUAAGGCUUAAAAUUAGCCAGAGUUUAUUGAGUGAAUGGCUCCAGACCAGAUGCCAGGGUCAGGUAAGGGUGGGGCAAAACCAGGAGGAGGCCAGAGUUUGGUGGCCCAAGCCCUGCUGAGAUCCAGGAGUUCUGGAUAACCUUGGUUGAGUCACACUUUCUCUCUGGCCUUGGAUUCCCAGCAUAAUGUAAAUUGAGGGGAUUGGACCGGGUGAACAGCAAAGUCCCUGGCAGCGGAGAUGUUUUAUGAGUUCUAAGCUUCUAAGGGUUAAGUUCAAAUAAAAGAUCAAAGAAGGAGGCACCUAGGCUCCCUGCAGGGCUCCCUUACAUCCACAGGGCCUGGAGCAAGCACUGGGAUUUGGAAAGAUGUGUAUGGCAGCAUGCUGGACUGAGAUGAGUGGCUGUACUUCCUUCAAAAAGCCUGUAAUCAGGCUUGGGACCCUUCCUUAGUGGGGCUGGGGGUAAACUGAUGUGCAACCUAUGGGCAUUUCUAGGGCAGAAGUGGAAGCCCUGGGGAGAAAUGUCUGUGAGCAAUGCAGAUUGUCAGAGAUGGAGGAAGUUAAGAAACUUCAAGGUCUGAACCCAAGAGGAGAGAGAAGUAAGGAGAUAACAAAACACAUUUAUUGUGACAUGAAACUCAGGAUUUAGGUGAAACCUGCCUUGUUUCAAAAAAGGCAGCCCAGUGGCGCAGUGGUUUGGCGCCGCCUGCAGUCCGGGGUGUGAUCCUUGAGACCCAGGAUCGAGUCCCACGUUGGCCUCCCUGCAGGGAGCCUGCUUCUCCCUCUGCCUGUGUCUCUGCCUCUCUCUCUCUCUCUAUGAAUAAAUAAAUAAAUAAAAUCUUAAGAAAAAAAAAAGGAUUUGAGGAGACUUACUGGCAUGCAGAUAGUUCUCCAAGAUUAAAAUUUAACACAUAAAAAAAAAAUUAACACAUAGACAUAGCUAUGUAAUACAUUUACUACUUUUUGACCCAGAGAGUCAAUUUACUUUUUUUUUUUUAAGAUUUUAUUUACUUGAGAGAGAGAGAGCAGGAGCAGUGGGGAGGGGCAAAAGAAGAAAGAAUCUCAAGCAGACUCUCCACUGAGCAGGGAGCUGGAUGCAGGCGGGAGGCAUGAUCCCAGGACCCCAGGAUCAUGACCUGAGCUGAAGGCAGAUGCCCUCUUAGUAUUUUUAUUUUUAGUUAGAAAUUAUUUUAAACUUACAAAAAUUUUGCAAAUACUGCAAAGAAAUCUUGCUUAUCCUUCUUCCAGAUUCACCGUUAACCUUUUGCCAUUUUGCUUUCUCUAAUCUACAGUCCUUAUUCAAAUCUUGCUACUUGUCCCAUUAAUGUCCUUCUUAACAGCUUUCAAAUAAGAAUCCAACACAGGAUUAUGGGUUGCAUUUAGUUUUCAUGUCUCUUAGUCUCCUUUGACCUGAAAGAGCUUUUCAGCCUUCCUUUGUCUUUCAUGACAUUGAUAUUUUUUAACAAUAAAGACCACUGUGGUUGUCUGUUUACAUUUAUCUGAAGUUUCCUCAUGAUUAUGUAUUGCUGCUGAAUUGAUGUUGUGUUUUCUCAGUUUAAUAUAUCAUAAAGCACAUAAUGUCGACCUGUCUUUAUGUUAAAGGAAAAAAUUUUCAAGACACUCAUUAGAUGGUGAGAAAGACUUUAUUCAAGAGGAACCACUGCAGUGCACUUCAAGUGUUGUCUAUCAAUUUUCCCUACAAUUCUACUAGGUUACUAUUUUUUUCUUUGUAAUUAACAAAUAUCUUCUUGGAACAUACUUCAAAACUAAAUAAACACUGUUUCUCAUCAAACUUUUACCCAUUCAUUUUAGUAUCCAUGAAUGAUUCUCACCAGGAUCAAUUAUUAUUGAUUGGAGACAGAUUUUCUGACCUCAUUAUUCCUCCUGCUGUGAGCAAGAGCUUUCCUUUCAUAUUUGUUUAAUGUUAGGAUGUACGUAAUAGCUAUUAUUUAAUCAGUAGGUAAUCUGUUACUGUGAUUUUUUCUUUUUU